UACUCGAGUGGCGAACGGGUGAGUAACACGUGGGUGAUCUGCCCUGCACUUCGGGAUAAGCCUGGGAAACUGGGUCUAAUACCGGAUAGGACGAUGGUUUGGAUGCAAUUGUGGAAAGUUUUUCGGUGUGGGAUGAGCUCGCGGCCUAUCAGCUUGUUGGUGGGGUAAUGGCCUACCAAGGCGUCGACGGGUAGCCGGCCUGAGAGGGUGUACGGCCACAUUGGGACUGAGAUACGGCCCAG
rnacentral:rRNA from 1 species